GUUACAAAUAUUUAACCCCAUCCACAGGCUCACAGGUUAACCCUUGACCCCAAGCUGGCGGUGCUGCUUUGGGAGGUGGUGGAAGCUGUAGGAGGCAGGGCCUCAGUUGAGGAAGUGGGUCAGCAUGGCUCUGCAUUCUCAAGACACAACAAUCCAGAGGCAGUGACAUGAAUGCUUGCUCCGUGGACAGGUGGAAAAAUGACUGGGGAUAAAGGAUGGAUGAGAGCAGGACCUGCUGUCUCACAGCAGCGCCACACAGAACCCCACCUGCUGUGGAAUGCACACGAGCCAUUUUAGAGCAUGGGGGAAAUGUGGUAAAAUCCUUUAAAAUCUUCCUGACGAGUAAAUUCCUGGAAAGCAAUUAAUGUGGAAGGCUUUCAGGGACCAGAGGGAGUGGCAGAUAGCUUGAAUCCUGUUUCCUGAGUGGUCAGCCACGGACAUCACUCCAAACCAGGUAGCAAAGAGUGUGCUUUUUACAUCUCUGUUCUAGGAAGAACAUUUGCACAACUUCUAGCAACAUUCUUGGGUCAGUGGCCAUGACCCUGAGGCAAUGCUUAGCGCUACAGUGAUCGUUUGACUCCACACGGUACUACAAAAAGUGAAGCAGUGAAAGCCCUGGGCCACACCAACAAGCACGUGACAAGAGAGACGCUUGCUCAUACGACAGAGGCCUGCAUCCCUUAGGCAGAGUACUGACCAUGAUUGGAUGCGAAUGGAAGAAUGUCAACUAAGGAUUGUGUCUAUAUAGAAAAUCAUUAGCCAAACACCACAGGGCUAAUUAAUGUCAUUUGAAAUACUUUCUGUGUAUGUUGAAUAGAGUGCCGCCAUUAUCAUCUGGCCAAACGAAAUGCCUGCCCAUAAACAACAUGGAGCUAUUUAACAGGAUAGCUAAUUACAUCUCGUCUCACAGCCCCAACUGAUCCUAAGCAACAACUCCCUAAGCUGUGUUGUAGUGCAAGGUAGCCUAAGGCUCUGGGGCAGUUACUGAAUCAUGAGAUUUUACUGUUAGAACUUGUUCGGUGUGUUUAAAAACCACCAAAAUAUUGAAUGGAGUAAAGUUACUAGGGAGACCGCAGCUUGGAAAGAGGCAGAGGAGAUCAAGAUAGAGAGGGACACUUCAAAAGCCACGCUCGGGCUCACAGGCACCUGGCACGAAGCUAAGAAUGCUGGGGGAAUGGGAGGGAAAGUACCAAGCCCUGUGCUUUGCUCCAGGUCACCUGGUUCUAUGCGGCACCCUUGUGGGUGGCCUGUGGCAUCUAUGGCUGGAGGCAGCUGCAUGUGUUUCCAUGGUCUUCAGGUGGCAGGUUCUCUUUUUACCAAGCACUUUGUAUAAACUGUUCCCUUCAGCCUUCCUUCUUCACAUACAUUCUAUAGGAGGUUUAUUUUGGGCCCAAGGCGUGCUUCUCUCUGCAUUUGAUCUCAAAGCAAGCUCGUUGAAAAGAGGACCAGAGACCUAGACAAACCUUAUGGACUUGUGUCAUCCUUCUAUGUAUGCAAGAGACACAUUCCAGGUCCCCCCAUAGGCACCCAAGUUCUCACAUGCUCCGCUGUGGCAUUGCCAUAGAUCUGUACACAUCCCAGUGUGUGUAUUUUGAAUUGUCUCUAGACAAGUUUUGAUGAUAUUGCUGUGUCCAUGCCAGGGAGACAUUUGUUAAUGCUGCAUUGUGUUGGGGAUAAAGACAAGGGGAAAGCCACUCAUGCUCUGUGCAGAGGCAUUUUCAGUAAUCCCCCACCAUGGGGGAGGGAGGUCAGUUAAACCCUAGUGUCCAGGUUGGCUUUUUACUGCUGUGAUAAACACCAUGACCAAAAGCAAAUUGGGGAGAAAAGACUUCAUCUUAUGGCUUAUCGUGCAUCAUCCAGCAAGGCCAGGGCAGGAACUUGAGACAGGGACCUGGAAGGACGUACGAACUAAAGCAGAGACCAUAGAGGAAUGCUACUUACUCUCUUGCCUCCACUGCUUGUUCAUACAGCUCAGGACCACCUCCCACAACGAACUCCAUCCCCCAACCCACGUCCACCUUUAAUCAAGAGUCUUUCCUACAAACCAAUCUAAUGGAGGUAGUUUCUCAGCUGAGUGCUACUCCUCUACUAGUUUGUGUCAGGUUGACAAAUACUAACUAGCACCCUGGAUACAGCAGAUGUCAUGGAUACAAAGGGCUGGCUGCAGUGAUGGGACACUGGCCACCUUACUACCUUACUUCCUACCUACGAUGUGUCAAAGUCCAUCUCACUUUAAACCUAAAGGAGAAAAUAAUUUUGAAUAUUUUUCUUGAUUUUUUUCCCCAAAUGGGAUAUGGGAAAAAAGUACAACAUUACUGGGUCAUUAUUGUUCGUUUUCAGAACAAUGACAGAAUCUGAAAUCAUAUGGGAAAUGGACUCUGGGUUGGAACCCAGAACCUUGUCCCUCCCACUUAGGCAUGUGCUCUUACACUGAGCUACACCCUUGGCCUCAUACCUUCAUUUCUAAAAAUAAUGCCAAUGUGUAAUUGUGAGGAUUAAAGUAACAUGGAGACAAAUGAGUACACACUUCAUGUGCAUCAAAGCGGAGUCAUGCUAGGAAUUGCCUGGAGUGGACAUCUGUCUUAGGAGUUGCCAGGGAUGCUCAUAAUGACUCACAAAGUCUUCAGUGUGCUCCUUGACAUACAGUUUGUGUCACUGGUAUGGUCUUGGCCAGCUGCUCUCCAAUGUUUCCUCUAACUGGCUGCUCUCUGGACAUACCAUGAACCCCUCUGAGAACAAGCUUUUGCAGUGUAUCAGGGCCAACACCACUUGGCUUUUGAGAUGCUAUCUAUGUUUUCCAGCUACAGUGGUUUGUGACAUGCCUGGGCCUGUCCCAGUCUAUCCUAUGGAGACUGUUUACCUGCCUUUUUAAUGCUACAUACAUAUUCAGGUAAGCAGCCUGACGAUGAAUGAUGGCUGUAAGAAGCCAUUUCCAACAGUAGGUUGGGGUCUUGGUGGAUCUCAUGAUGCUCUUCUGUGGGGCUUCUGUAGACUUCAAGGACCAGUAAGCAGUUUUCACCCACAUGGGGGUAUGAGAUGUGAGAGGUGUUUUCUUGCUUUGUUCUCUUACAACUUUUCAAAUUAUAUGAAUGUAAUAAAAAGCAUACAUUAUUAAAAAUUUUAACUAGGUAUUUCACAUAUGGAGCUGUGAAGAAUUUCUUUUGGUGCCAAAAUGUCAUAAGGAAAAAAAGUAUGAGCUUUGUGAUUUGUGGACCUGCUAUGUAGGCAAUCUUUUUCAAAGUUGUAUUUUUCAAGAGGUGUUGGAACAUUUUUCUCCAUAAGGAUCACAGGUGGGAAACUCUUCAUAUACUGCUUCUACAAGUUGGAAAUUUUCCUUGUUUGAGGAUAAUGCAGAAAACAUUCAGUCCUCCAUGUUUGGUUGCUUUAUUUCUUCCUUUAGCCACAUUGCAGAGAACUUUCUAGAAAAGAAUUAAGAAUAUGCACCAAGAAACUCAUCACCACAACUGAGCACACAAUGGUGAGCAAGGUUAUCUCUAAAAUUGUACUCUAUACAUUUUUAAUACUCAAAAAGAAACAUCAAUGUGUCUCAUUUUCUAAUUUGUUAGAGAACAUGUCUGGUAACUGAUUAAACAAGCUAUAAAACACGGGGACCAAAGAGCCUCCAAGAACUUGAAAGACAUAUUACUUGGAUAAGCAAGUAACUCAUGAAAGUGAUGCUAUAGGAAAGAAUUUCUGUACAUCCUCCAUGGCUUGGUCCAAGUGAUGAGCCCUUUUCCAGUCCUUCUCAACAGACUUUAUGACCUACGUCGCCUAUUCCUCUCCUUAAUUCAUUAAACUGCAUUAAUUCAAACUAAUUAUCAUUUAAGCCUUUGACUCUAAAUUUCCUGGAUGAAAAUUUUGGAAUCUCUGAGUCAGAUGAACGUAUUACAUAAGUGCGCCCCAAGGAUUCACAAGCAGAAAACACAUCUUAGCGCUCAGUAAUGCCAGGGGACAUUCUUUUAGGGCAUCAUUCCUCCCUGAUUAUCAUUUUAUCUUCGCUCUUCAGUUGCAAGUCUUUCAUGAAGAAUUUGGGCAACGUUUUAAUUUAAAAAAAUUCCACCAUGCUACUUACAAACAUCAUUUUAAAAAACCUUUUAUUCAAUGGUAUACACAUUCAAGUAACAUUUGAAAUUUUUAAAAUAUAUGCUCAGAAGCAUGUGAACCUGCUGCUCUUGGUUAUUUACCUCACACACCCGGCUCAUGGUCACGUGCCCUUCAGGAGCCUAUUCCUGGAACCCCAUUUGGCAGUUUACCCAACAGAGCAAAAUUAAAAUUUAGAUCCUAGCCCCAAAAUGUUAUGUAACCAAAGCUUUGGUUUUUUGUGACCUUGAAGCGCUAGGUCAAGCCAAACAGCUUGAAUGUAAUUGUGUUUAACUGGAAACUCUGUGUCUGUACAUUUUUAAUGUCCCCAGAUUGCCACAUGAGACUCAGUCUUUAAAUGGGAUCCUUCUGAAGAGCAGAUUUCUUUGGGAGACAGGAUGAGGUAAAUAUGUAGAGACUAAUAUGACACAUGACUGUUUUGCAGGAUGACGCAACCAUGCAGUUGUUUUGUGAUUACCAAGCUCAUGAAGAAUGAACAAUAGACAUUGGAUGCAUUGGUUCAUGCUGUAGCCGCUGUAAUCAGGAAGCUGUGGGAGGAAGAACCCAAGUAGGAAGCCAAUCUGGAUACAUAGGGAUAGCCUGUCUAAGAAAACUAAAAAACUGUAUUCUGAAUACAACCCAAUGGCUUAAAGUAUCACUUAUAAGGAAACUGUAAACUUGCAAAACACUUAGAUUAUUUUUCUAAGGUUCCAAAGUAAGUGUAAUCGGUAAAGUUAAAAACUGUGGAGACAAUUAAGAGCAUGUAUGAGUCAGAUACUGGAAGCCUAGAAAGGAUCAAAAUUUAGAUCAAACAUGGGUUCUACUAAGGAUAUGCCCCCUAGCACUGUUUGGUCAAAGACCCACUAAUAUAUCCACCAAUAAUAAAGAGAACCUGUUCAAGUGUGUGUGUGCUGGAAUGACGCUCUUUGCUUUUCCAUUUUUUCCUGUCCAUUUGCCAGUACCAUUCCUUCUUAGUAUUUGUCGUGGUGGAAUGAUGUUCUGAGGACGUCUGAGGUUGGUACUAUGAGAGUUAUUUGUAAUGCUCAACUUGACACAGUGAAGGGAGGGUCAAUGUGGAAACUUCUGGGCUAGGAUGGCCUAUCAGGGGUGUUUGUGGGCAACUGUCAUGGUUACCUGCACAUGUGGGAAGAUCCGUGUGCAGCAUCUAUCUGUGACUUUGGAUCCUGAACUGUUGAGUGAUCAGAAAGUAGCUCAUUGAUUUCUGCUCCCAUUACUGCGUCUUCUCAGCUAUGUUGAACUGUGACCAGGAAUUGUGAGCCAAAAUAAAAAUUGCUUUUUAGGGUUCUUUAUCACAGCAACAAGAAAUAAAACUAAUCUAGAAACUGAACUUUAAGAAUUUAUUUAAACUCCACCUAGCCCAGAAGUUUCCACAUGGAUCCCAGCAGCCAGGAAAUGGAAGGAAAAAAUAUUCAUUCAUGGGGAGACAAUUAUACUUUCUUGAGCCACUGUACUUUCCGGAGUUAUGUCAUUUUACUGAAAUGGAGCCUUAUAAAUGGCAUAGCCCUGGUGUUUAAAAAUAAUGUAAUAUUCUUUGCAGCAUUCUUACAGAAUGAAUGAAGCACAGAUCCUGCUCAUUCUUCCUGUGUCCACUAUCCACACCAAAAGAAGAUCUACCCAAGUCGAAACCAUCACUCCAUCUGUUACUAUCACUCUUUGGAGUUCAGGACCCCAUCUGCUCCCAAGAGAGCAUGGUUGAAGGUCAGGGGUGGAGUCAGGAACAUUGGUUAGCAUGUUCAGCCCGAGUAGCUGCUGAGUCAGCAUCCAUUACAUCAUUUCUGCUCAUUCCCCAGGCCCUUCUCCAGGUCAUGCUGGACUCCUCCCUGCCAUGUGUCCUGCUCUUGGUGUCACCCUGUUCUUUGGCCCCAGUCUCCUCCUGCCGUCCUCAGAUGGAGGCAGACUCCAUGGAUGCCUGUCUUCUGUAUCUGGUAAACAGACACAGGAAAAUUGCUAGUUCAAAGUCAGCUAGAGCCACAAGGUCCCACUUCACAUUCUGAGUAACUGUCCCAGCUUCUGGAGAGCAAACAGAACAUGCUAAGGACCGUGACAUGGGAAGUUCCUUGGACACCUGAUACCUCUCUCCUGCUAACAAGAGUUUCAACAAUGUUCACACACACAGAUGCCCCCAACUGGAGACAUAUCUAUAAAAAAAAUCUAUGAUGAAUUUUACUUGGAGCUAUAACAGCAAAAGUUCAAACAAUAUGCAUUCUUGAAAAACAGAAGAGUAAAAAAUAAAAGAUUACUGUAAUAUCCCAAACAAACAGAGAAGUGGUUGAUAUAUUUCUCUGAAGACUCUGGCUUGAUUCAUGUGUCCCACAGAGCACCAGGGAUCAGGUACCAAUAGGCUGGGUCUCAAGACUUUAGAGUCCCGAGGGUGCAGGGCGUGAGGAGACAAGGUUGAGCUGUAUGAAACAUAAUAGAAAACUUAAAAAUGAAACGAAGAGCGAAACAGCAGAAGUCAAGCAAAUGGCGGACACGGAGAGACACAGUAAGAAAAUGGCAACAUAUUUAGAUGUUGCUGCCUGCCGUGUGCUGUGGCUGCUGUGGCUACUGCUGUGGGACCAAGAGGUGAGUGACCUUCCUUUGGAACAUGGAAGCUUUGGCUAGAUGCCAGUAUCCAAACAUGGUAAACAUGAGACAGACACUGUCACUGCUAUUGUUGCAAAGGACAGAUUUUCAGCACUCGCUGUUGUAGAAUUUAUUUAAUCCCAUUCUAGGGUUCCUACCCUGCCUUGAUUAUUUAGGUUUUGGAUAAAAGACAUAUAUAACUUUAUAUUUAUCAUAAGCUUUAAACUGCAAAAGAGCCUGGCAGAUAUCUAUCCUCUAUGUUAUUAGAAUUUUUUGAUAAACCUGAGUUAUUAUUUGUUGGGUUUUAUUUAGGCUGUUUUUAAUUUCAAUUGACCAGCUCUCAGGGCCUUACCUAACCCAUUGUGGCUAUUCAUUUAUUUAUUGUUUUUUUUUAAUCCUCCAAAGCCCAGGAACACUAAACCCUAAAGGGGGUAGAUAUCUGCUUAGCUUAUGUGCUGUUUCAGGUUUAUUAUAAAAAUGAAAGGUAUAUGUUUUCUAUCCAGGAACUAAAUGAUCAAGGCAGUGUAGAAACCCUGGAUUGAAAUUAAAAUCUUGUAUAACAACUUGCCAUUCAGUCAUCAAUAUAGUUUACUUUCCUCUUGCAUCUUGCAUCUUGUUCAUAAUUUUUAAG
rnacentral:sRNA from 1 species